AACAACAUGGAGGUAGAUGAAGUUAAUUAAGCUAUCAUAAAAUAUAAUCACUCAAUUUGACGAGACGGAGAAGGGAAUGAUGAAGAAAGAAAAUAGGCGAGUGAGCGAACACACGAAAAUUAUCCGAGGCGCAACUCGAGUAACAAAAUGAACCCCACGAGCCUCACGACCGAACCGUUGCCGUGAAGCUUAGUGUAGAAACUUGGCGACGAAGUUUAUUGUGUCCGGGUGAAGCUGUGAACCGCUGGAAACCGCUGUGCCUCAAUAAGCGUGGUGUGUGCCAGAAGAAUAGUAAUAAGAGAACGUGGCCGGAGGGAAGAAGUGCCGCAGAGAAUCGAGAAAGAAGAGGAAGAGGAGAAACAGGAGGUGAACCAGCGACGUGCCACACAACAGAAGCGGAAUUACGAGGAGCUGAUUGGAGAGAUUGACACGUUCCAGGCAAUCAGCGUACUACACCUGGCGGCCGAGGGAAUGCUGCUGGAGAUGAGCAAGCUUAAAACUAACCACUACAGUCUCCAUUACCACCACCACCACUACCACCACCACCACCACCACCACUACUACAAGGCUCUCAAUCCCAGCAUGAUGUGGAAUUUGAUUUUAUCGUUGGCAAAUCGUGGAAAUAACGCAUGAGAGGAGUUGUCCAGCAUGCCCUCUUGCUCUUCGGCUCAGUGCUCCUGUCUCAAGAAGGAGGAACACGAGGCGAGGGAGCGACGGCGAGGGAGUGUGUGACGCGACUCCCUGGCGACCGCUUACUGGCAGGCGGACGGACCUCACAACCACCGCCACCUCUAUCACCACCACCACUACCACCACUGCCACUAACGCCACCGUUCUUCAUGAUCCGCCCACCUCCAUCACUACCACUACCACUGCUGCUCCAUAACUCGGACAUUAACACUACUAUCAGUGCUUUAUAUCAUCCCAUCAACCAUGACCAUUACAACCAUGCCUUAACUUCCAUUAGCAAUACUGAUGUUACUAAAGUCAUUACAAUUUUUACCAUCACCGUAGCCACCACUACUUUUCUUUUUUUAAUGAUCCAGCCUCCACCAUCAUCACUACAACUAUCACCACUACUUACUGCCUCCAUAGCCUCAUCUCUACCACAAUCAUCAUCAUCACUGCUACCACCACUACUACUAUCAUCUCACCAUACCCACCACCAUCCCCGCCUUCAAUACCAACAUUACCAUAAUCACCGACUUCCUACCAGUCAAUAAAAAUUUACCAGGAUCAACCCGUGAUCAGCUCAUUACUACCAACACCACCACCAUAGCCCGUGAACUUACUUCCACCAUUACUACCACUGUACUCCAUGAUCCGCCCUCCGUCACCACCGCCACUGCUUCUUGGCCACCUCUGCACCACCAACAUCACCACCACUGCCGUACCAUCAGCAUCAACAGUACCGUACAGUGUUUGCAUUUACAUCCAUUUACACUUCUGGUCGUAUCCUGUUUCAAAUUUUCCAGGCAUUUCAUUUCCUUCUUCACUCGCCUACGGAUCUUAUAACUCAAUAUCAGACACCAGUAAUUUUUCUUUGGAAACCGGAAAGCUGGCGUAAUUAGUUACAAAUAAAGAUGAGACAGAAACUACAUCCUUGCAAAUUAAUAGAUAUGAAAUUUAUUUCAACACCUACGUCGCAUCGUUCGAUGAUAAUAUAGAACGAAUCGUCCAAUAAAUCGUUCAGUUAUUAUUUGUUCAUUGGUAUGCUGUGACACAGGUAGAACAUGAGUUUGUGAAUCGUAUUUUGAUAUUACAAUUGUAAAGACAUGAAGGUUAUAUGUACUUGCAUAGGUUUUAUAAGUUGAGUGAAUAAGGCAGUAAUUUUGCGCGUUGCUAAUGAAAGGUAAAUUGUAUUCAAUUGCUUCACAAUUGUUUGCUCGAAACCCAAGUUCGCGCAAGGUUUCACUUCACUUGCGAGCGGCAGGUCAGUGAAGUCGCAGACACGGGGAGGGGCGGUUGGUUAGCUACGGCCCACAUUCCCAUCUCUGACCCAGCACGAUGUGUCCUCGAACGUGUGGGGGCGACUCGCACCGCCUGAAGGGACUGAGGAAGGAGUGAAUAACCCAAGGAAUCUGAGCGGCUCUUCAUAGAGCGUUGAGCGGCGACAAGACUUCAGCCACUGGUCUGCGAGAACGGGUAGGGCGAGGCGGCCAACCACUACGUCCAUCCCAGCCUUGCCCCGCGCUCACCUCUGCCUCAUAUAAGUGCUUCCAUUAUCAUGAGGAUUACUAAUCACCAUAGUAUGGCAAGCAAAAGAAUCAUGAUUCAAACUACUGACCCAUGGAGAUAGAUGUUGGAUGUUUCUAUGUGGAGCCAAACAAGAUACCAACUGUGUUUAGUUGAAGCAGCAUGUUCCUGAUUCCCAUCUAUUGAUUCUUGACUGGAAUUAACUGUUUUACUGCGGUCAUCAUGAUGUAGCUCGGCCAAGACACUGCGAACUUCUGUUAAGAUAUUGGGCUGUACAUAUGUCAUUGCCUUGUCCAGUCCUUCACCAUCAUUACCUGGAAAAUUUGAAAGUUGAGGAUGGCUUCUUCUAGCUGUUUAUAAACAAAUCUUGGAGCCGAUUCCCUUAACCAGUGCACUCCAAGCAAUAGAAAAUGGCUCCCGGCGCAGUAUCCUCUCCUCUACAAAAAUAAUGAUGGGACAUCAGAUCCAAUCUUAACAAUCUCUCUUCAUACGGGAGGUCUUCCAGACUUGGAAUAAUUUUUGUUGCAGCCGGUUGACAAGAACACUGCUGUACAUUCCAACCAUUGUAAACACUUAACCCCUUCAACAUGAUGACAUGUAUAUUGCAUCAUUGUAGCACUUGUGAAAUAUCCAAUGAUGCACAUAGUGUCAUGGCUGCUCUCUGUGGUGGUCAUUUUUUUGUUUAUACUGUAUGAGAUCUUUCAGAAUGUAGGUCGUAUAUGAUACAAUGGUUUACUCGACUUUCAUGGGGGGCUGGGUGGCGUAGUUGGUUAAGGCUGCUCGUAUUUGCCCCUCUGAUCUAGGCAGCCCGAGUUUCAAUCCUUGCCAAAUCUAGUUGCCCGAUGGGAAAUGUAGCGUUCUCCUGUUAACCCCUAGCAGUGCCAUGUGAUUCGCUUAUACCAGGAUAAGUACUGAUGUGCCCAGCUGGAAAUAAAUCUGUUUUAUUUAUCUAUUUUCUAUGGUACCAAUAAACUAAUUUACCAUAAAAACUGACAUUUUCUCUCAUUUGUCAUCUUCAGAAAACGGCCAAGAUAAGGCAGUGUAAUUUUUUCUCUAAAAUUUGCGUGGGUUUUAUAUAUUUUUAAUGUACAUACAUAUAUAUCUGUUAUGAAAAAUCACUCGCCAUCAUCACUUUCUGCAGAAGAGAGCAAGAGCAAGAGAGAGAGAGAGUUGCCUGAGAGUCAAUUACCUCUCCACCUGGAUACUGCGCCGGGUGCCGUUUUCUAUUGCCUGGAGUGCAGAGGUUAAGGAAAUCGGCUCCAAGAUUUGCUUAUAAACAGCAAGAGGAAGCCAUCCUCAACUGUAAUUAGAAGAUUUGCGCUACAUGAAUUACUGUUGUGCUGUACCGUCUGCAAAAAGAAAUUUAAAAAGGGUAUUAAGGCAAAAAAAUGGAUGAGGAAGUGCAGGUGGCAGGUGGUGUCGUAUUUGCCAAUACCCUAAGGAAUUCAACUUGAGCUGAUUUCUUGGGAUUUAAAAACAAUGAAGAGAGGAGAAGAGACAAUAUGUUUAGAAGAAUGAUAGACAUAAACAGAAAUGAAAGAGAAAAUGGGUAUGUUAGAAAAGUGUUGAAAAAAAGCUUACAAUAGCAUCAAGAAGAAAUUAAUUGAGGUCAAAAUAAAUUGUAUGAUAAACAAGAAGCAGAAUUAAUUAAUUUUCAGCAGAAUGAAUUUUAAGUAGAUAGCCGAGGCACAAGUAAAAUUGAAGGACAAAGGAUUUAUGGAAAAUGUGGUUCAGGUAAUUAAGUUGAGAUACUUUGUAAAAGAUGAAGGUUCUUGUUGAAUUCCAUGGCCUAAGAACUCAUCCAAAGGUUCUUGGAUUCCAUGGCCUAAGAACUCAUCCAUUAAGAAAUAACAGUGAAAGGAAAAAGCAGGAGUUAGUAGAGAAGUUUUGAUGACAGUGCAAGAUAGAAGAGAUGUCCAGGAUUGAUAUUGGUAAAUAUAUCAAAUGUAGGAAUUGUCUAAUUAAGGUAAAGAUUUAGAAGCAGUGGCAAAAGCUUAUAUACAUGUUUAAUUUUUUUUAUUUUGGCUUAUGUCCGAGUAUAUGUACAAAGAUAUAAAUAUAGAAGAGAUAAGGGAAGGAGCCAAGGAAUCAAAACAAAGUGAGGAAAGAGGAGGAGAAUUUUAAAAAUUAUGUUUAAUUGGAGAGAAAGAGACAUGAAAUUAAGGAAGUGAUACAAAAGAAAAUGACCUCUGUAUGUACUUUAACUGUGUGCUCAAAAGGCAGCUAGAGAGUACACCUUUCUUGAGUACACAGUUAAAGUACAUACAGAUGUCUUCUUUGAGGGACCAGGCAAAGAUUUAGCUGAUGGUAACUUGACACCAUCAUCCUUCUUGAAAUGCUUCAACUAGUUUUUCACACCACAUUCACCACCAGUAUUUCUUCCUAUCUGCAGCCCAGCUUUGUGAAGCCCUAUGAUGAUCUGAGCUAUAGUUACCAGCAUUAACAACCUCCUUUUACCCAUAUUCACCAAGGUACAGCCCAGGAACACAGGGAAACAGACAAAAGAUGGUGCUAAUGAGAGAACGGUGCAACACUUCCUCUCACCAUGACCGCCAUGGAGGCAAGGAGGCAGUACUGUGGUGUGUGAUGGGAGGCAGUGAGGUCCUGCUAGCUGCUGGUACAUAGCAUAAUGCCAUUGUUUUUUUGUCCUAGCUCCUGGUACCUGGCAUAAUGCCAUUGUUUUUUGUCCAGGCAUUAUGGCAGGAUGCUCACCUGGCUUGAUUCUGUGACAAGCACUGUAGAAAAAUGUAGAUGGAUUGAUAUCAUCAGCAAAUAUUCACUUAAAAGGAUUGUAGAAACAAAGUUAAUUCAUAAUUCAACACCAUGGAACAUAAAGGAAGGUGUAUAAAAAUUUAUGGAUGAAAAAUCAUGAAAAUACACCAGCAAGAGUUAUGUUAUUACUGAAGAAAGAACCUGACAACGGUUAACAUGACUGAGACUUAAGAAGUGCCUUCUUGGUUAUCCUAAUUCUAUAUGUUUUUUCAGCAAAAUAAUCUUUAUUCAUAGGCUGGAUCUUUCAGUAGUGGUACCAUGUUUGUAGCUAUCCUUUGAAUUCUUUCCUGUUCUUUGAAUUCUUUCCUGUUUCUUCAUAUCAUCCUUCAUAUGCAGAGAUCACACCACUGCUACAUACUCCAACCUGAGUCAUACCAUAGUGGUUAUGAUUUUUUUCAUCAUACUCUUGCCUAUGUAGUGAAAUGGCACCUUCUUAUAAUGAAAUUCAUUAACUUCUUGUAUGUUGAGCCAAAUAAUCCCACUUGUAUACCCCUUUUGGAUUAGGGUAUCUUGAAUAACCAUUCAAGUCUUUCUUACUCUUCAUUAUAAUUUCCUCUCCAAGUCUAAUUUUACUCUUACCCAACAUGGAAUUUCACUUAAUUUUUCAUCAGUCAGCAGGUUCAAAAAUAACUGCUCGCACCCACCAGUGCGUUUCACUAAUAUACACAUCUGGAAUAUGAUGGGUGAUAACAGUGAUCCAUGUAGUUUGCUGCCACUUGUUGUUACAUUACUCUAACUUGAUCAGAUGUCCCAGAUCACAGUUCUCUAUCCUGUAAGAAGUCCCUCAUCCAGUUUCGUUGUUCCUCCUGCAAGUUCCAUCUUUCACAAGAGUCUUCUGUGUGGAACUAUAUCAGAUAUCAAAUUCUUUUUUCUUUCACAAGAGUCUUCUGUGUGGAACUAUAUCAAAUUCUUUUUUCUAUCUAAGUACAAUGCAUUUAUUUACCAAACUGUCUUUGCAUUGUACUUCAUUUUAUCACUCUAUACAGAAACUUAGUAGCUAAAUGUGACACAUGUGAUCUUCCUUUUAUGAAACCAAAUUUGUAGUUAUUGUUAUAACUUCAUUUUCAUCUAAAUAUUUUUUCACCCUUUUCCUUGAUUACUAAUUUGGUUCAGUCUUCUUUCCUCCUUUGUAUAUUGGCUUUAUAUUUGCUCUUUUCCACUCUCUUGGUGGUGUUCCCUCCAUCAGUGAGAUGUACACCACAUAUCAAAUUGGCUCCACCAAUUUGUUCUCUACAUUCCUUUAGUGGCCAAGCUUACAUUGCAUAAUUUUCUAGCAAUUUGUCAAUUUCCUGUUUUGAAUCAUCAUGAUUUCCCUGUUCUGUAAAAACCCAUUUCGACAUUAAGUUCACCAUAAAAUCCAUUUCACUGUAAAAUUCACUUCCACCAUAAGUUAACUCAUCUUUCAGCUGUUUUAAAUAUCCUUCAACUCCUUUUUCAGCUGUUUUAAAUGAGGCUGGUAUUGCAAUAGGGGAAUAACCCUCAAAAUUGGUGAAAUCGAGUUACGGGUGGCAACGUGCUCACAAAGGGUGUCAAAAGGUCCUAAGCACGUCGGCGAAACUCACACAAAAAAAAAAAAAAAAAAAAAAAAAUUGAGACUAACAUUGGAAGUGAGUGCAAGCUGGGGAUAACCCACGGUUGGUGGUAGUGGUGUGCGAGCCAAUCAACUGCGAGCGUCCCACUACGCCCCAGCGCUCGGCCAAUCACAACCUCUAUAUACUUGCAGGGGGGACCACGUGCGGAAAACAACACUGCUUUUAAUCCUGCCUGAUCUUUCUCCACAGAUCCACACCAUUGUGCCUGAUAAUGAACUUAACUGUCUCAAGCCAAUGUAAAGGAUGAGAGUCAACCAAAAUUAUCAUAUUAAAUUUUUUAGGUCAAUAGUACUCAAUUUUUAUCUAAAAAAAAAAAAAAAUUUUAUUAUGUAAUGCAGUAAGGUAACAUAGUCUUCAUAACAUACUACUCGUUUUAUCAUAGUGACGUAAUUUCAUUGAUAACUCAUAAAUUCUUGGAAAAUAGGUGAUGGAGGUAGUGAAACAAUUUCUUUUCACAAGAAAAAAGUUUUGAUUACAAAAAUUUCUAUUUUUUUUGGGGGGUAUUGGUAUUAUACAUUACAUCAUAAGACCCUAAAAAACACAAAAAAACUAACCUACCCAGGUAACUUUUUUGGCUAGUAACUGUAGGUAUAGUUUGUUGGUUUUUUAGGAGGCGGAGACAAAAAUAAGGUGACAAAAUGGAACUCUUCUGAUGUAUGAUAAUAGCAUAGUAUGCCCUUCCUUCCAUGCGUAACAAGUGGCUAACUUUAAAGCGUAUUUUCUCGAAAGUAGGGUUAUGAGGGUUAUCCCCCUCUUGCAAUACCAGCCUCAAAUAUCCUUCCUCCCUUUACUAAUUUGCAAAUGGUCUCUCUGCUCAUCAUCUGCAAAACUGUUCAGAGUAUUAAAAAGAGACACAUUGAUUGUUUAGAGUUGCAGAGAUAUUAACAAGAUAUAUGAGUUGAGUCAGAGAUGGGAAGUGAAAUUCAAUGCUAAGUAAGAAAUUCCAAGUCAUGGGUAAAGGCAAAAGAAGACCUGCAUGGGAUGCAUGCUCUCUCUUUUCUACAUUCUUCUCUUCUUUCUAUAGAAUGCAAUGACCGACCCUCCCUUUCUCUGUCUCUAAGUUAAACAUCACUAGUGUACUGCUACUCUGCUGAGCUCCUAAUCAAAACAAUCUUUACAUAAUAAUGGCCAGUGAUGUGGAUACAGGUCUUCCACUUACCCCAGAUUUCAGUCUUCACCUUCUCAUAUUCCUCCAUGAGUGUCUUUUGAAUGUUGCAUUUGUGAUCAGAAAAGAUUGACUCAGAAGAGUGUUCCUGUAAACCCCACUGCAUCUCAUACUUCAUGGUUUCCCACUGCCGUUCUGGACAAUGGAAAUGCAAUCCCAUCUGUAAGAGUUUGAAAACUUUAAAUAUUUUUCUACUUCACUUUUAAAUAUUUUUCUACUUCACUGAUAAAUACUAUUUAUUGAAUAAAAAAUAUCAAUAACAUCCUGACAUUGAAACUGAAGUAUUUGUCAAAAAGAUGAAAGACCAUAAUUUACAUACUUCAUCUGAAGAAGCAACAUGAUGGAAUGCGCCAUCUUUAGUCAGCUUGUAGAAGAUAAAUGCUGGAUCUGGGUUUUCUGAACUAGAAUGAAAAAUUCUUACCAGAUUGACCAUAUUUUCAUAGGCCUCCAUUUCCAUUCUUAUUUUAUAAAAGUACCUGCAACACAAGGCACAUCAUUACAAUCAUAAUUAUUUCUAUUUCAACACAAUGUUUUCAAGUCAAUUAAGUUAUAGAUGGAAUCUUGUCUAAAGAAAUUAGAGACAAUGAUGAAUCAUCCCCUCACCAGUUUCAUAAAUGUGCCACAGUGCACAGCUAGCUAUUUAUAGACUAAAAGGAUGGAAUGCUAAAAUAAAUACUUAGAGGAAGAACCAUAGCAUGUAUUGCUUUCAAGCUGUAAUAAAUUAAACUAUUGUUACUAUUGUUAUGAUUAACUAAGAAAAAAUAAAUGAAUAAAUAGAUCAAUAGGCAGUCACACUAGCUAUACCCUAAACUAAGACCAUUAGUACACUUCUGGGGUCCCCCUGAUUCCCUCAGUAAAGAACACAACUGUUACCCUUUUAUCACACUACACCAGGGUAUUAUUAUGGACCUAGAUUUAUAGACCCACUUCCUAAGUAUGCACAGAUCCUGCUAUAAUGCUAUACCUAUUAACUGAGCUGAACAUUGGGCCAGUAGACAACCUCAAAGGACACCUAGCUGCUAAUGAGGUCAGAACCAAUAUGGUUGACCUGUGUCCAUCCUCUUUCUCAAAUAAGACAAUACACCUAUCUAGGUUCUUCUGUGGAAGUACUAUGUAUGCAGUUCAAACAUGAAUUCCUAUGGGGUUAAAAAUAGUUACAAAAGUGUUUCAUAAGCUUGGGAUUAUUACACUACCAUCAAUUAGUUUCACUCCUUUUCUCUAUGUGGUCUCUCACUCUGCUUAAACUAUACAAACAAAAUUACCUGAAGGGAUGUUUGUAAUAGAGUCCAUAGAGUGCAUACAAUGCUCCCACUCUCCACUUCACUUUGUGAUUAGGAGAUAACAUCUUCUUGGUCCAAAAACAUAUUUCUUGAGAAAAUUCCAAUAGUUCUUUGAAACUGUAUCGACCCCUGAAUGAGAAAUAGAAAUUACAUACAUAUAUUCACCAUCAAUAUCAUAACUUUUCUUUUUGUUGUUUUUCUUCAGUUUUUAAUUAUUGGUUAUUGUCAAUAAGGUUACCAUUAUUGAUUUUUCACUUACUGUGAAAAAAAGUUUUCAAUGGAUUAGCACAAUGAAGAUUCAUAAUGAAAUUAAAUGUUUUUUUUUUCCAUUGAUCAUUACCAAAUUAUCUUACCUGUAUAUGAGAGAAAAUUUAUAUUUCUGCCAACAUUCUGCAAAUGCACAAAAUCUCCAACUGUCCUGCUUAUCAAAAGCUUCAAACAAAGCUAUCAGGUCCUUCAUGAAACCAGAUGCAAGGUACCAAUGACCUGAAAUAUGCACAAAUCUUAACAUGUGAAUGGUACUAUAAAAUCGUUAUGAAGCACAGUAUGUAAUCAAGCUACACAAAACAAUAAACUAUAAAUAUUAUCA